rnacentral:rRNA from 1 species
UACGGAGGGUGCGAGCGUUAUUCGGAAUUACUGGGCGUAAAGCGCGUGUAGGCGGCAGGGCAAGUCUGGUGUGAAAGCCCGGGGCUCAACCCCGGAAGUGCAUUGGAAACUGCUCUGCUUGAGUACCGGAGAGGCAGGGGGAAUUCCCGGUGUAGCGGUGAAAUGCGUAGAUAUCGGGAGGAAUACCAGUGGCGAAGGCGGCCUUCUGGACGGUUACUGACGCUGAGACGCGAAAGCGUGGGGAGCAAACAGG